AUGAAUUCUGAGUAGGCUCUGCCUCUCACCCCCUUUGUGCAUCACCGCGUGGGUGCUCUCCUUUUGGUUCGUUCCGAAAGGGGGCAUUUGCGUUUUUAUACAAACCACUGCAUGUGUAGAAUGUCUUACUAUUUGCGAUAAUGCGCAAUCAAUA
rnacentral:misc_RNA from 1 species